AAGUCGUAACAAGGUUUCCGUAGGUGAACCUGCGGAAGGAUCAUUAACACAGAACUUUUUUACAAAUCUCACACAUUUGUAAAAAACGUUUUUCAACUAAACCAGUGCUCCUUUUUUUUUCCCACACCUUCAACCCUUUAAUUUUAAUAAUUUUUCUAUUUGUCCAAAAACUUACAGUUUUUUGGUUACAACUUGAAAUAAAGUUGAACAUACAACUGUUAACAAUGGAUAUCUAGGCUCUCGUAACGAUGAAAAACGCAGC
rnacentral:misc_RNA from 1 species